GCCUCUGACUGACGGUCGGGGGCCGGCGCCUCUGCCUCUCCCCGCUGCCUGCGUCCUGGCUUCGCAGUCGCCGGCGCUCCAGGAGCCGAAGCGUUCACGCAGUGUGUAGGGUGCCUUUGCGCUGCACAGCAAAUUUAAUUUGCUGUGUAGCUCUUUUACAGUACUUUUAAGUUAGUUAACUCCAGAACUAUUUGUUGAGCACCUGUGAGGUGGCAGGGUCUGUCUCGGGGACUGAGCACACAGCAGCUUGGGAAAAAAAAAAAGACAAAUCCCCGAAAUCACGCCCUUGUGGGGCGUACACGUGCUUCUCGCGUGACCCUGAAGUUCACUUUUGGGACCUGGCUCCCACUGAGCGCUGCACUGAUGAGAGCAGGGCCCACUCUUUGACAGAAGUUAAAAAUGUGAGGUACAUGCUUGCUGUGCGGCUGAGGAAACUGUAACCUGGCGCUCUGCGGGGAAUGCGCUGAAGGCCUUGGGGCUGGAGAGUGACAGGCCCCAGGCACACGGGUGCAGAAAGGCGCUGACCGCCAGCCUGCAAAGCCCCGCAAAAGGCGCUUCCUGUUCCCUUUAUUCCCCCCUCACCUGAGCCGGGACUCGCGUGAUGCCGUGCUAGGUUCCUGAGAUCCAAAGAACUCCGGAGAGGAUAUUUCUACCCAGCUCUCAGACAUUUUGGACAAUGUCAAUUGUGUCAUCAACCGCUUCCAGGAAGAAUUAGGAUAUGAUUUAAAAGAAAAUGCCAAAUCUCAGCAGACAGAUCCAAAGGGCAAGAAGAGAUUCAUCUUGCUGGAAAAAAUUGCCUCCUUCUCCAAAGAUGCUAUGAUGAAGGAGAAGCACCUGUAUGACAUUCUCCGCUGGCUGGGUGACUGGGGUGACACUCUGACCUAUGAGAUCGGGCCCAGGAAGAGUGAAGAGGAAGAAGCAGCUCUGGACGAAUGGAUUGAAGCGACGGAGAAAGUGUUACCGCUGUCCCUCAUUGCCACCAAAAGAGGCAUCGAGUCACUCACUGCCCUUUGCUCCACUCUCAUUGAAGGACAAAAGAAAAGGUCACAAGUGUCCAAACGCACCUUCUGGCAGGGCUGGCAGGGAAGAAGCCCACAGACAUCUCCAUCCCAUCCUCAGCCACUAAGCCCAGAACAGAUGCUCCAGGACCAGCAUACCAUGAACACGAAGGCCUCGGAGGUGACGUCCAUGCUGCAGGAGCUCCUGGACUCUACCAUGUUCAGCAAGGGGGAGGUCAGGGCCAUCAGGUACAUGGCCACUGUGGUGGAGAACCUCAACAAGGCCUUGAUCCUCCAACACAAGGAGAACAGGAGCCUGGAGACCAAAUACAGGCACCUGCAAAUGCAGGCGACCAAAGAGCUCAGCAGCCAGAGGCUGCACUUCCAGCAGUUCAUGGAGGUCCUUGAGAGCAGGAGGGAUGCUCUGCUGAAGCAGGUAGAGAUCUUAGGGGGAAGGUACCAUGACCUUCUCCUGACGAAGCAGGCCUUGGAGUUCCAGCUGAAGAAGGCUCAGAAUGCUACAGGUCAGGCAGAAGACCUGGCUGAGGUUUCUGUUGACUCCCCAGGUCCCUCUGAGAGAGAGACCCUCCCAAGGAAAGAAACAGUCAUGGAGGAAAGCCAACAGGAACCGAUGAAGGAGGAGCAGUUGUUCUCGCCACUUCCCCCAAGUCCCAUGGCCAUGAUGCGGGACAGUGGUGCUAUAGCUGCAGGGCACCAGCCACUUUCCACCAUGACUGUGCGCUCGAGGGUUGCAGAUGUGUUCAGCAGCAAGGACACUGAGAGCCUUGAGCCUGUGCUUUUACCCUUAGUAGAUCGCAGGUUUCCUAAGAAAUGGGAAAGACCGGUGGCAGAAAGCUUAGGCCACAAAGACAAAGACCAGGAGGACUACUUCCAGAAGGGAGGACUCCAAAUUAAGUUCCACUAUAGCAAGCAGCUGUCUCUAGAGACCUCCAGGCAGGUGACCUCUGAGAGCCAAGAGGAGCCCUGGGAGGAGGAAUUCGGCCGGGAGACGCGGAGGCAGCUGUGGCUGGAGGAGGAGGAGAUGUGGCAGCAGCGGCAGAAGAAGUGGGCCCUGCUGGAGCAGGAGCACCAGGAGAAGCUGCGGCAGUGGAAGCUGGAAGACCUGGCCAGGGAGCAACAGUGGAGAUGGGUCCAGCUAGAAAAGGAGCAGGAGAGCCCACGGAGAGAGCCAGAGCAGCUAGGGGAGGAUGUGGAGAGGAGGAUCUUCACACCCACCAGUCGAUGGAGGGACUUGGAGAAGGCAGAGCUAUCAUUAGUGCCUGCCCCAAGCCGGACCCAAUCUGCUCACCAAAGCAGGAGGCCACACUUGCCCAUGUCUCCUAGUACCCAGCAGCCUGCCCUGGGAAAGCAGAGACCUAUGAGUUCAGUGGAGUUUACCUACAGACCACGGACCCGCCGAGUUCCCACAAAGCCCAAGAAAUCUGCCUCCUUUCCUGUCACUGGGACAUCCAUCCGAAGGCUGACCUGGCCCUCUUUGCAGAUAUCCCCUGCAAAUCUUAAGGAGAAGGUGUACCACAUGGACAUGGAGGCCCAGAGGAAGAACCUGCAGCUCCUGAGUGAGGAGUCUGAGUUGAGGCUGCCCCACUACCUGCGCAGCAAAGCACUGGAGCUCACCACCACCACCAUGGAGCUGGGCGCGCUCAGGCUGCAGUACCUGUGCCAUAAGUACAUCUUCUAUAGACGCCUCCAGAGCCUCCGGCAAGAAGCGAUCAACCAUGUACAAAUCAUGAAAGAAACGGAGGCUUCCUACAAGGCCCAGAACCUCUACAUCUUCCUGGAAAACAUUGACCGCCUGCAGAGUCUCAGGCUGCAGGCCUGGACGGACAAGCAGAAGGGCCUAGAGGAGAAGCGCCGAGAGUGCCUGAGCAGCAUGGUGACCAUGUUCCCCAAGCUCCAGCUGGAGUGGAACGUUCACCUGAACAUCCCUGAGGUCACCUCGCCAAAGCCAAAGAAAUGCAAGUUGCCUGCAGCCUCACCCCGGCACAUUCGCCCCAGUGGCCCUACCUACAAGCAGCCCUUUCUGUCUAGGCACCGGGAAUGUGUGCCCCUGCAGAUGGCCAGGCUCUUGGCACUGUGCUUAAGGGGCCUGGUGGCUGAACUUGCUCUGGUGAUGGAGGACUUUGACCUUCUGCACGUCCUCUAGCGAGCUCUCUGGCAAGCACGCAGAGUGUCUGACAUUCUUCUCCUGCUUUGGGGCUGCUCCAGUGCCUGGACUCUCCUCUCAUGCCACAGGACAUCCCAAGAUGACUUCAGAUUGCCCUAUUGCCUCAAACAUCAGCUGUAUGAUGAAGAUUCCCAAAUCCAUCCCCAAUUCCAAUCUCUCCUCUGAGUCAUAGAGCUGUAUAUGCAAACGCUCAACUGCACAUCCCAACUGGCUGCCCACUGGCACCUCCAACUCAAUCAAUGCAAAUGAAACUCAUCACCUUUCCUUCUCAUCCCCAACCCUGCAGCUCCACUUGUGCCUCUGGUCUCAAUGCAUAUCUGCCAGCCUCAUCCACUGCCAAAGCCUGAACUGGGCAUCAUAGGUGCCUGAGCUCCUGCACCCAUUCAUGCAAUCUCUCACCAAGCCCUGUCAUCAUCUACAUCUUUUCUGUCUUCCCCUCAGUGACUACCCUAAAUUGGGCCACCAACUAAUCUCCCUGGCUUCUGUUUUACUCUUUCAAUCUAUGCUCCAUACUAAGCCAGAGAUAUCUAAAAUGCUGGUCUAAUUCCACACUUCUGCUUAAAAAUUCAUUAAUGGCUCUUCAUUCUUCUCAGGAUAAAGUCCAAUCAUGGCCUAUAAAGAUUUUUGUGACAGCUCUUC